AAUCACUAAUCAGUUGUCAAAUUACAGUUUUAGUGAUUGGAUGUACGUUUUGUGUUUGAUUAUUCGAUUGUAUUUAUUUACGAACGGUGCUGUGUCCAUUCAUAAAACAUGUCGCUUAAAAUGGAGUUUGACUACGAUGCGGCAACGGCAUUGAUGGACAUAUUUUCUCAGGCAGAUAUUGAUCAUUUGCGCGAAUGGAUUUUAACUUUGGAUAUAAAUAAAUGUGUACCGAAAGAUCUCACGGAUCAGCAGUUACUGUUGUUUUACAACGCUUGCUACGGUAAUUUGGACAAGGCUAAAAUAUGUAUAGAGAAAUAUUACGCACACAAGAAAAAUUCGCCGGAUAUGUUUGAUAACCGUGUAGUUUUUUCGGAUGAGCUGAAGUCUUCAACUGAAGCCCUAGAGUUCUCAUUUUUCCCUGAGAAGUCCGUCGAUGGCUACGACGUGAUCUACCAUCGCCUGCACUACACUGAACCCUCCAAGUACCAUCUGGAACCUGGCUGUAAACUCCUCUUCAUGACCGUUGAUGCGUGCCUCUGCAAGCGGGGGCCUACACCCGGCUAUAUCUUCCUAUUCGACAUGAGAGGCGUCCGGCUUGGGCACCUCACGCGCGUCAGUCUCUCCUUUCAAAAGGAUAAGCAAAGGUCCCUCCGCAAGUUCUUCCAGUUUGUGCAGGAGGCCUGGCCGGUCCGCAUGAAGGGCAUCCACGUGCUGAACGCCGAGCCCAUCGUGGAUAAGCUGCUCAUCCUAAUCAGGCCCUUCAUGGAGAAGAAGUUCUAUGACAUGCUAAAAUUCCACAGCAAGACCGAAGACCUGGAGAAGUUCUACGAGACAGUCGUCCCUCGCUCCGCCCUCCCCCCCGAUUACGGUGGUACCCUCCCCGACACACAGACCCUCCACAAGAAGUGCAUGCAGCAACUACAAGCUCUGGAACCUUACUUUGCUGCUGAGGAGCAGCAAAGGGCUAGAGCGUACCCGGACAAGAAGAGAGAUAAGGCGUUGAACAAGAAUUUUAAGAAGUUGGACAUAGAUUAAUGAUUAUGUGUGGGUUUUAGAAGGUUUCUGAAAAGGUGCGAUGAAUCUUGUUUAUUUAGCUAUAUGCUCAAAAAGUGUUUAAUUUAGGCUGACCAAAAAUAUGUAUAAUUUAGUCUGGCUAAGCAAUUUGUCACUAGAAGACGAGUUAACUGAACUGUGAAAGGUUCGUUUCAAUAUUUUGAUCGUCUUUUUUUCUAAUAUGAUUAUCAUGGACCAGACCAAAUUGCCGAGAAUCUUAAACUCGUUUUCAGUCUAAAUUCAAUAGGUACUUUGGGCUUUUAGGGUUUUUUUGGGUCUGAGAAGGUAUGUCGCUUUUAGAAAGGAGCUCAAAAGAUGUGUAAUUUAGUCUGGCUAAGCAUUAUGAGUCAUAAUUUAUGACACUAGAAAAAGACGGCACAUUCAAAAUAGUUAUGUAUGAAAGGUUUACAUUUAAAGAAGAAUAAAGAUCAUUUAUUUUCAGCUAAAAGUUACAGACAUUCCAGGGGUCUCCGCACUAGGCAGUGCCUGUAUCGCGGGUAACCAAUUACAAUUUAAAUAUCAGACUUUGUUACAAUUAAAAACUAUCAUUUAGUAAGAAACUACUAACUCAAACUAAGGCUUAAUCUAGACACAAUAUUGAAACUAAAUUUUGUUAAAUAUGGCUUCUGUUCUAUUUGCAUUUUUAAUUUCUCGUUUUUUCUAAUAUUAUGAUAGUUAGCCAGACUAGAUAGGCAAAAUUGUAUGCUGGCUAUGACUCAUUUUUAGUCAAGUUCAUCUUUCAUAAGCAUUUAGGUAUCUAGUUGAAUCUUUUAGACACCGAUGGGUUCAAAAUAACACCCUAAAAACAGACCCUUUACAAAACAUACAUGCAACAACUCCAAAUUUUGGAACCUUACUUUGCUGCUAAUGAAUACGGUUUGCCCGGACAAGAGAGAUAAAAUGCUGAACAAUAAUUUCAAGAAGUUGAAGAUUAGUAUGCUUUUAGAUGAAUUUUAGAGGUAUGAGAAAAGGCGUGUCUCGUUUGCUAUGUGCGGCUCAAAACAUAUUUAGUUUAGUCUGGCCAAGAAUACGUAUAAGUUGUCUGGCUAAGCAUUUUGACACUAGAAAAAGACAGACUGUGAAUGUAUUCUUAAUGGUUUAUUGGCCUUAGAAUAGUUUUUUAAGUAGACUCGUUCUAUUAUAGAUUUUCGUGUACAUUGACCCGCCUGUUGCUGUCUCUAUUGCACUCGCUUUAUUAUGUUGUCACGCUCGCACAGUGACAUUGACAACCGGCAUCAUGGGCGGGACAGCGAUAUAAUUAAUGAUGCAAGUGCAAUAGAGAUGUCAAAAGGCGGGUCAAUGUACGAAAAUCUAUAUGGAACGCGUCUCUUCUUUAAUGCUUCCACAGUUGAUCCUGAUGUUUUAUUUGUUAUAUUAUUAAUAUCUUUGAUUAGCUUAGUUUUUUUCAUGAAGUUCGGAUUGUGAACUCACAAUAUUUUUAAAUUUCUUUAAUUAUUGUAGAUUUUUAGAGCUCCCAAUUAUGUUAAGAGCAAGGGACCUGGAUACCUAUAGUUCAUAGAAUCCUUGAAUACUUAAAAAUGAUGGACAUCGCGCUCGUAACACCUAUGACACAGAAUAAAUAAUAGUACUAGGUACAGAAAGUUCACUCUAACAAAACACGACUAUUACGACAGAUAUGACCGCUAGGUGGCGCAAGCGGGAGCUGCGUCCGUUCCGUAGCGGUGCGCGGCAACUACUAUGGCUAGACACCAAAAUUGGUGUGGGCCGCAUGUACUUGUAGCGACGCGACGAAAUCGCGGAGUGAGCCACGCCUGCCUAUGACCGGCUAGCAUAACUUGCGUCUAGUGUGACUUCAAGUAUGGACUCGCGCGCGAGAACAAGUCAUGCUGGCAAGUCUGGAGGUGCGACUGUUUAUAGACUACGGUGUUUACUUACCAAUCUUACCAUAGGCCGUAAGCUUGUUUGCCACCGUCUUGGUAUAAAAAUGUCAUGUAGUACAAAGAUUUAAUUACAAUUGUAAAUUGUAUUCCUAGGUAGGUUUUGUAUAUAAAAGAAAAUUGAGAAAAAAAUGUAUACUUAAUAUUCGCUCCCUAUGGUCAGACCAUAGACAAGUAGGUAUUAUACCUUUUGCACCAAGCUUGAAUUUAGUAUAUAUGUAUAACUAUGUACCUGUCGUGAAAAGUUUAUGAGGCCAGGUCAAGAGCACCCUAAACCGGCGAGCGUGUAUGAGGAAUGUUAUGAAAGUGAAGGAAGCGAAAGAGGUAUGUCAGG